UACGUAGGGUGCAAGCGUUAAUCGGAAUUACUGGGCGUAAAGCGUGCGCAGGCGGUGAUGUAAGACAGUUGUGAAAUCCCCGGGCUCAACCUGGGAACUGCAUCUGUGACUGCAUCGCUGGAGUGCGGCAGAGGGGGAUGGAAUUCCGCGUGUAGCAGUGAAAUGCGUAGAUAUGCGGAGGAACACCGAUGGCGAAGGCAAUCCCCUGGGCCUGCACUGACGCUC
rnacentral:rRNA from 1 species